GAGUUUGAUCAUGGCUCAGGAUGAACGCUGGCGGUAUGCUUUACACAUGCAAGUCGUACGAGAGUUUUUAACUCAAGUGGCGGACGGGUGAGUAACACGUAAGAAUUUGCCUUUAGGAGGGGGAUAACAACUGGAAACGGUUGCUAAUACCCCAUAUGCUUUCGAGUGAAAUGGAUUUAUCCGCCUAGAGAGAAGCUUGCGGCUGAUUAGCUUGUUGGUAAGGUAAUGGCUUACCAAGGCGACGAUCAGUAUCUGGUUUGAGAGGACGAUCAGACACACUGGAACUGAGACACGGUCCAGACUCCUACGGGAGGCAGCAGUGGGGAAUUUUCCGCAAUGGGCGAAAGCCUGACGGAGCAAUACCGCGUGAGGGAUGACGGCCUAUGGGUUGUAAAC
rnacentral:rRNA from 1 species